rnacentral:rRNA from 1 species
CAGCGCCACGAGUGGCAUCCGCAAUUAUUGGGUCUAAAGCGUCCGUAGCCGGUUUAAAAAGUUUCUUGUGAAAUCAUUCAGCCUAACUGAAUGGUGUGCUUGAAAGACUAUUAGACUUGGAACUGGGAGGAGUCAGAAGUAUUUCUGGGGGAGCGGUAAAAUGCUAUAAUCCCAGAAAGACUACCUGUGGCGAAGGCGUCUGACUAGAACAGAUUCGACGGUGAGGGACGAAAGCUAGGGGAGCGAUCCGGAUUAGAUACCCGAGUAGUCC